UACAAUUACAUUUACAGUGUAUGUAACCAGUUUCAACAUAUGUGGAUAAAGAAACCAACAAAUCAUUGGCCCAAUCUUAAAAAAGAUGAUCCGUAUGGUUAGAGCUGUUGCCCACUAUUAUGUACAUUCAUUCAAUCAAGACUACAGGUGGUGUUGAUUAUACACUUUCGCAAUCAAGACUACAGGUAGUGUUGAUGAUACACUUUCUACCAAAUGAAUAUGAUGCUGCCUCACACACGAGCUGAUACAAGAAUUAUGAAGAAAAUAAAAAGGAUACAUACAAUUUACGGUGAACAUUGAACAGCACCAUUCCAACUUCCAAGUGGGUAUGAC
rnacentral:lncRNA from 1 species